GCCGGCGUAGCUCAACUGGUAGAGCACCUGAUUUGUAAUCAGGCGGUUGCGGGUUCAAGUCCCAUCGCCGGCA
rnacentral:tRNA from 1 species